GGGUUGUGAGGUUAAGCGACUAAGCGUACACGGUGGAUGCCCUGGCAGUCAGAGGCGAUGAAGGACGUGCUAAUCUGCGAUAAGCGUCGGUAAGGUGAUAUGAACCGUUAUAACCGGCGAUUUCCGAAUGGGGAAACCCAGUGUGUUUCGACACACUAUCAUUAACUGAAUCCAUAGGUUAAUGAGGCGAACCGGGGGAACUGAAACAUCUAAGUACCCCGAGGAAAAGAAAUCAACCGAGAUUCCCCCAGUAGCGGCGAGCGAACGGGGAGCAGCCCAGAGCCUGAAUCAGUGUGUGUGUUAGUGGAAGCGUCUGGAAAGGCGCGCGAUACAGGGUGACAGCCCCGUACACAAAAAUGCACAUACUGUGAGCUCGAUGAGUAGGGCGGGACACGUGGUAUCCUGUCUGAAUAUGGGGGGACCAUCCUCCAAGGCUAAAUACUCCUGACUGACCGAUAGUGAACCAGUACCGUGAGGGAAAGGCGAAAAGAACCCCGGCGAGGGGAGUGAAAAAGAACCUGAAACCGUGUACGUACAAGCAGUGGGAGCACGCUUAGGCGUGUGACUGCGUACCUUUUGUAUAAUGGGUCAGCGACUUAUAUUCUGUAGCAAGGUUAACCGAAUAGGGGAGCCGAAGGGAAACCGAGUCUUAACUGGGCGUUAAGUUGCAGGGUAUAGACCCGAAACCCGGUGAUCUAGCCAUGGGCAGGUUGAAGGUUGGGUAACACUAACUGGAGGACCGAACCGACUAAUGUUGAAAAAUUAGCGGAUGACUUGUGGCUGGGGGUGAAAGGCCAAUCAAACCGGGAGAUAGCUGGUUCUCCCCGAAAGCUAUUUAGGUAGCGCCUCGUGAAUUCAUCUCCGGGGGUAGAGCACUGUUUCGGCAAGGGGGUCAUCCCGACUUACCAACCCGAUGCAAACUGCGAAUACCGGAGAAUGUUAUCACGGGAGACACACGGCGGGUGCUAACGUCCGUCGUGAAGAGGGAAACAACCCAGACCGCCAGCUAAGGUCCCAAAGUCAUGGUUAAGUGGGAAACGAUGUGGGAAGGCCCAGACAGCCAGGAUGUUGGCUUAGAAGCAGCCAUCAUUUAAAGAAAGCGUAAUAGCUCACUGGUCGAGUCGGCCUGCGCGGAAGAUGUAACGGGGCUAAACCAUGCACCGAAGCUGCGGCAGCGACGCUUAUGCGUUGUUGGGUAGGGGAGCGUUCUGUAAGCCUGCGAAGGUGUGCUGUGAGGCAUGCUGGAGGUAUCAGAAGUGCGAAUGCUGACAUAAGUAACGAUAAAGCGGGUGAAAAGCCCGCUCGCCGGAAGACCAAGGGUUCCUGUCCAACGUUAAUCGGGGCAGGGUGAGUCGACCCCUAAGGCGAGGCCGAAAGGCGUAGUCGAUGGGAAACAGGUUAAUAUUCCUGUACUUGGUGUUACUGCGAAGGGGGGACGGAGAAGGCUAUGUUGGCCGGGCGACGGUUGUCCCGGUUUAAGCGUGUAGGCUGGUUUUCCAGGCAAAUCCGGAAAAUCAAGGCUGAGGCGUGAUGACGAGGCACUACGGUGCUGAAGCAACAAAUGCCCUGCUUCCAGGAAAAGCCUCUAAGCAUCAGGUAACAUCAAAUCGUACCCCAAACCGACACAGGUGGUCAGGUAGAGAAUACCAAGGCGCUUGAGAGAACUCGGGUGAAGGAACUAGGCAAAAUGGUGCCGUAACUUCGGGAGAAGGCACGCUGAUAUGUAGGUGAAGUCCCUCGCGGAUGGAGCUGAAAUCAGUCGAAGAUACCAGCUGGCUGCAACUGUUUAUUAAAAACACAGCACUGUGCAAACACGAAAGUGGACGUAUACGGUGUGACGCCUGCCCGGUGCCGGAAGGUUAAUUGAUGGGGUCAGCGCAAGCGAAGCUCUUGAUCGAAGCCCCGGUAAACGGCGGCCGUAACUAUAACGGUCCUAAGGUAGCGAAAUUCCUUGUCGGGUAAGUUCCGACCUGCACGAAUGGCGUAAUGAUGGCCAGGCUGUCUCCACCCGAGACUCAGUGAAAUUGAACUCGCUGUGAAGAUGCAGUGUACCCGCGGCAAGACGGAAAGACCCCGUGAACCUUUACUAUAGCUUGACACUGAACAUUGAGCCUUGAUGUGUAGGAUAGGUGGGAGGCUUUGAAGUGUGGACGCCAGUCUGCAUGGAGCCGACCUUGAAAUACCACCCUUUAAUGUUUGAUGUUCUAACGUUGACCCGUAAUCCGGGUUGCGGACAGUGUCUGGUGGGUAGUUUGACUGGGGCGGUCUCCUCCUAAAGAGUAACGGAGGAGCACGAAGGUUGGCUAAUCCUGGUCGGACAUCAGGAGGUUAGUGCAAUGGCAUAAGCCAGCUUGACUGCGAGCGUGACGGCGCGAGCAGGUGCGAAAGCAGGUCAUAGUGAUCCGGUGGUUCUGAAUGGAAGGGCCAUCGCUCAACGGAUAAAAGGUACUCCGGGGAUAACAGGCUGAUACCGCCCAAGAGUUCAUAUCGACGGCGGUGUUUGGCACCUCGAUGUCGGCUCAUCACAUCCUGGGGCUGAAGUAGGUCCCAAGGGUAUGGCUGUUCGCCAUUUAAAGUGGUACGCGAGCUGGGUUUAGAACGUCGUGAGACAGUUCGGUCCCUAUCUGCCGUGGGCGCUGGAGAACUGAGGGGGGCUGCUCCUAGUACGAGAGGACCGGAGUGGACGCAUCACUGGUGUUCGGGUUGUCAUGCCAAUGGCACUGCCCGGUAGCUAAAUGCGGAAGAGAUAAGUGCUGAAAGCAUCUAAGCACGAAACUUGCCCCGAGAUGAGUUCUCCCUGACUCCUUGAGAGUCCUGAAGGAACGUUGAAGACGACGACGUUGAUAGGCCGGAUGUGUAAGCGCAGCGAUGCGUUGAGCUAACCGGUACUAAUGAACCGUGAGGCUUAACCUUACAACGCCGAAGCUGUU
rnacentral:rRNA from 1 species